rnacentral:lncRNA from 1 species
UUUGAAAAUUCUCCAUAAGAACUUAUUUGGAUCUCUAGGAUUGUGAACCUAGGAGAUAAGCUUUCUGAUUUUGUAAUUGUGGAAAAUUUCUCAAAGCUAAUAUUGGUUUUGUUCUUGGCACUUAAAUUAAAAUAUUUUCUGCAUUGGCACAAACUCACAAAAAGGGUUCAAAUGAAAAAGGUUUGCAAACUAUGAAAAUAAAAUUGUAUCAUGGCAUACUUUUGAAAACUAAUUUCUUAUUGAGUUGUGCACAGAAAAUAAUAUUGAACACAAUUGUUUCUACACCAAGAACACCAUAAAUAAAAUAGAGUUGAUAGAAUCCUUGAAGAAAUGAAAAAGACAAUGUUGUAUGAUAGUCAUCUACUUAAAUGAUUUCUGUUAAAAGCUAUCAUCAUUGCUUGUCAUGCAUAUGGUUUCUAUUAGAAAACUCCUUUUGAUC